rnacentral:rRNA from 1 species
UACGAAGGGGGCUAGCGUUGCUCGGAAUCACUGGGCGUAAAGCGCACGUAGGCGGCUCUUAAGUCAGAGGUGAAAUCCUGGGGCUCAACCCCAGAACUGCCUUUGAUACUGAGGAGCUUGAGUCCGGGAGAGGUGAGUGGAACUGCGAGUGUAGAGGUGAAAUUCGUAGAUAUUCACAAGAACACCAGUGGCGAAGGCGGCUCACUGGCCCGGUACUGACGCUGAGGUGCGAAAGCGUGGGGAGCAAACAGGG